GAUGAACGCUGGCUACAGGCUUAACACAUGCAAGUCGAGGGGAAACGACGGGGAAGCUUGCUUCCUUGGGCGUCGACCGGCGCACGGGUGAGUAACGCGUAUCCAACCUGCCUCUGACUGAGGGAUAACCCGUCGAAAGUCGGCCUAAUACCUCAUGGCAUCGUCUGCGGGCAUCCAACGACGAUUAAAGAUUUCAUCGGUCAGGGAUGGGGAUGCGUCUGAUUAGCUUGUUGGCGGGGUAACGGCCCACCAAGGCUACGAUCAGUAGGGGUUCUGAGAGGAAGGUCCCCCACAUUGGAACUGAGACACGGUCCAAACUCCUACGGGAGGCAGCAGUGAGGAAUAUUGGUCAAUGGGCGAGAGCCUGAACCAGCCAAGUAGCGUGCAGGAAGACGGCCCUAUGGGUUGUAAACUGCUUUUAUGCGGGGAUAAAGUGAGGGACGUGUCUUUCAUUGCAGGUACCGCAUGAAUAAGGACCGGCUAAUUCCGUGCCAGCAGCCGCGGUAAUACGGAAGGUCCGGGCGUUAUCCGGAUUUAUUGGGUUUAAAGGGAGCGUAGGCCGUGGAUUAAGCGUGUUGUGAAAUGCAGGUGCUCAACGUCUGCACUGCAGCGCGAACUGGUCCACUUGAGUGUGCGCAACGCAGGCGGAAUUCGUCGUGUAGCGGUGAAAUGCUUAGAUAUGACGAAGAACUCCGAUUGCGAAGGCAGCUUGCGGGAGCACAACUGACGCUGAAGCUCGAAAGUGCGGGUAUCGAACAGG
rnacentral:rRNA from 1 species